CCUACGGGAGGCAGCAGUGGGGAAUAUUGCACAAUGGGCGCAAGCCUGAUGCAGCCAUGCCGCGUGUGUGAAGAAGGCCUUCGGGUUGUAAAGCACUUUCAGCGGGGAGGAAGGCGGUGAGGUUAAUAACCUCAUCGAUUGACGUUACCCGCAGAAGAAGCACCGGCUAACUCCGUGCCAGCAGCCGCGGUAAUACGGAGGGUGCAAGCGUUUAUCGGAAUUACUGGGCGUAAAGCGCACGCAGGCGGUCUGUCAAGUCGGAUGUGAAAUCCCCGGGCUCAACCUGGGAACUGCAUUCGAAACUGGCAGGCUAGAGUCUUGUAGAGGGGGGUAGAAUUCCAGGUGUAGCGGUGAAAUGCGUAGAGAUCUGGAGGAAUACCGGUGGCGAAGGCGGCCCCCUGGACAAAGACUGACGCUCAGGUGCGAAAGCGUGGGGAGCAAACAGGAUUAGAUACCCCAGUAGUC
rnacentral:rRNA from 1 species